rnacentral:rRNA from 1 species
UACGAGUGCCUCAAGCGUUAUCCGGAAUCAUUGGGCGUAAAGGAUGUGUAGGUUGUCGAGUUAGUCUCUCGUUAAAUUCUUCGGCUUAACCGGGGGUCUGCGAGGGAAACGGCUCGACUAGAGGAUGCAAGGGGUCUAUGGAACUCAUAGUGUAGCGGUGAAAUGCGCAGAUAUCAGGAAGAACACCGGUGGCGAAGGCGGCUCUCUGGGCCUUACCUGACGCUGAGGAGCGAAAGCGUGGGUAGCGAACAGG